UUUUUUAUUUUUUGUCUUUUUUUGUCGUCUCUCGGGCCGCUCCAGCGGCAUCUGGAGGUUCCCAGGCUAGGACUAUAAUCAGAGCUGUAGCUGCUGGCCUACGCCAGAGCCACAGCAACUCGGGAUCCGAGUCGUGUCUGCAACCUAAACCACAGCUCACGGCAAUUCAGUAUCCUUAACCCAGUGAGCAAGGCCAGGGAUGGAACCCACAACCUCAUGGUUCCUAGUUGGAUUCGUUAACCACUGAGCCACGACGGGAACUCUGGGCAGUUGUUAGUUUAACAGACAAGGAAAAGGAAACUCAGAGAUUAAACAUGUUUAAGAUGGUAAAGCAACUAAAAUAUAACCUGAGACCAGAACCCAGUUCUAACUCCAGAGAUCCAUUUGAUUGCAGUUUUAGCAUCAUGCAGUUCUACUUGAAUCUCCUACCUCACUUAACAUGUAUGAAGAAUAAAGGGAGAAAAACAUCCCUUAGUGGGAAUGUUGAGGCAGACAUCAGGCUGAACACACUAUUGUCUUGACCCUUUAUGAAGUGAUUUUUGUUUUACCUUGUAAAAGAAUGCAUAGUCUAAGCAUUGUGACAGCCAGCUGACUGACAAUCUGGAGCAGGGGUCAGGUGGGGUGGGUCGUGGGUUCAGGGUGAGAAUGGAUUGAACGGUGCCUUGCUUUAGGUGGGGUGCUUGGCAACGGUGCCACCCCAGGUGGUUCCACACGGUAGCAUAUGCUCAACCUUUUAGUAAAGGCCAUGGUCUUAUUUAAAAACAAAAUAUCCAACAUUUCUAUUAUGAGCUUCCUAAAUCCCCGUUAAAUGAAAAUGCAGUAUUUCCCCCACUCUUUUUCCUAUGCUGACAUUUUAAAAUACCAUUUUCCUAUUUCUUUUCCUAUCUUUAGAGAGGAAACUAUGUGUAAUGCAGCAGAAAGAACCCCAUUUGGAAUUCAAGAAAACCGGGUUCUCAACCUUGCUCAACUCAGCUCAGUGACUUGCGGCAAGUUCCUUAGCCUCUCGGGGCCUAUUUGUGCACAGGAAAUCUAGGGGGUUUCCGAUCUAAGCUUUGAGGUCUCUUUUAACUCUCAAAUUCCAUGAUUCAUUUCUAACUUAGGUUUCCCUUAUUUAAUGUUGGCUAUUUGUUCUGCUGGGCGAGUUUAAUUUCUAAUUGAUAAUAUUCAUUGUAUUGCACUCUACAACGACUAGUAACGAGAUUCUCUUCCCUGAUGGACUUUGCUUUGCUCUUCAGCAUAAACUUUACAUCAUUUUUCAGAUUCUGACAAGUGUCAAAAAUCUCAGCGGGUUUACCGACUGCACCCGUUAGAACGAGAAAAGCCAACUCAAAUUGCCCUAAACAAUAAAAAUGAUCUAUUGACUCAUAGAGUUAAAAUUAAAUUAAGUAUUAGUGUAAAUUCAGGCAAGGCCUGAUCAGGCUUCUCCAUCCAUUUCUCUGAGAUUUUAUUGUCUCUCUUGAUCUUUGUUCACAACUUUCAUCCUCAGACAAACAACCAGAGGCUGCAGUGCUUGUGGGUCUCCUAUUCAUACCCAAUUGGAGCUCUGUAAAAAGUAUCCUACCAUCAAUUCUCUGAUGUAGGAACCAGGAAACUCUCCUGGGAGCCCUCAGAAAAUGGCCUUUUGCGUUUCAAUGGACUGAACUGGGUCACACAGUCAUUCCUGAACCAACCACUGUGGCCUGAGGAAUGCUCUGCAGGCUUAGGCUUGGGUGUUGGAAGCAUUCUUUGGUGACUGAGUCCAAUCCCUACACUUCAUGAUGGCUUUAGAACGUGGAAGAGAGAAUGCUGGGGAGUCAGUCAUUAUAUUGUGUCUGCUCAACUCAAACAACUUGGAGGCUGAUAUUGCAUCUUCUGGCCCUCUGCAUGCUGGGCACGCAGGUAAUGUUUGUUAAAUUGAACUGAAUUUCAAGUGGUGGUGAAGAUAUAAACCAAAACAGAAAAUAACACACAGUUCUCCUCUCCUCUUCCUCUCUAUUCUAUUCUUGUAAUGGCUGCUGUUCAUCCUCCCUCACUUUCCCCACUAUUUAUAUUUUACCCCUCUUAUUUUUAGCCAUAAGUUUUACUAAGUCUGAAGAUAACCAGAUAUUUCCUGAAUAAUAUGUCUCUGAAUAUGCAUAUUCUCUAAAUAUGAAUAUAAGCCUAUUUGCAAAUCUAGCACUUACAUUUAGAGUGUUGUUGGCAGGACUCUGAAAAUCAGUUUUUCUUUCUUUUUUUUUAAUAGAGAAAUGUACUACAGCAGAAGGAUUUGUUUUCCACAAAGCAGAACCAAUUUUCUUCAUUUCAAAGACUUUGAUACUUCCAUAAAUACUUAUAUACUCAUAAAAUAUUAAAUUAACAAAAUAACAAAUCAGGCCUUAAUGAAUAUAUAAUCCUCUGCCACUAAAAACCAAAUUUAGGACUGACAGGUGUACCUCAGAAAAGAGAAAGGGUGUGGGAGGGGGUGAACAGGCUUUCUUAAAAAUCCAUGGCACCAACCAAGGCUGGAGCACCUGGGUUUAUUCAGCCACUCACUCCCCUCCACCCUCACCCUGUUCUCUCAGAAGAUACACAGGGUUCUAAGGCCUGGAAGGAGGUAACACUCAUAAAUAACAAGGAACAGGGAGACUCCACCUAAUGGGUUUAGUAGCACUCCUUUUCCUUAACAUGACUAUGGUAACUCGGAGUUCCCAUUGUGGCUCUGUGGGCUAAGAGCCCAACUAGUAUCCAUGAGGAUGCAGGCUCAAUCCCUGGACUUGCAGAGUGGGUUACAGAUCCAGCGUUGCUAUGAGCUGUGGUGUAGGUCUUAGACAUGGCUCAGAUCCCACGUUGCUGUGGCUAUGGUGUAGGCUGGGAGCUGCAGCUCUGAUUUGACCCCUAGCCUGGUAAUUUCCAAAUGCUGUGGGUGUGGCCCUAAAAAAAAACAAACAAAAAAAACUGUUGGCCACUGCCUGAUCAUAUCUGGACAUCAGGGAAUACAGGACCAGAGCCACACAAUUUAGCAACUCAAUUGAGCCUUUCCUGAGCAUAUAUUCUGUCAGGUUCAACUAUAUGAGAUAAGAGUCCCUGCCCUUGAGGAAACCAGCAAACAGUUCUGGUUCAGCAGAGUCAAGUCAGUGGAAGAGGUAACAGGGAAGAGGGGCACACGGAGAGGAUGGACUCACUGCCUUAACUAUAGGAAGCACCAUCCACUUAAAACACAAUGUGAACACCAUCCCUGCAGUUGUGCAAAGGGGCAUCCCGGACCCACGCCCCAUCUUGGGCCAUCAAGAAAGGCUUCCUAGGAGAAGGAAUAUUCAAGUUGAGGUUUGAAGGAAGGGGGAGUCAUUUGGACAAUUUGCACCAGGCUAAGGAGGGUGUAUACACACAUCUACUGUAAAUACUACCCAACCCUUAAAGAGAAGAGUGGAUGUACAUCCUCGGGUGAGGAGAUAGAAAGGAACGCUCCCACCUUUGCCCUCUCCUAUGGUUGGGUCAGAAGAAGAAUGUGGUUAUGGGUCUUUGAGGCACUAGCUAGUAUUUUAUCAACAAUUGUCUUCCUAAGCCCUUGUACACCUGCUAACACUGGAGGGUUUAGGAGAAAGUCUAAACUCAGGGGUCUUGGGGUGUUUUAAGACAGACUGUCAUUGUGAACAAAAGAGGAAUAAUUAACUACACUAAACAGUCAAUCUUUCCCCAUGUUUAUAAAGUUGCACUGAGCCUGGCAGCCCACACUUUCCAGAAAAUAGCAAAGGAAAUGGAUUAGUAAAUAGUAAGAUAAUUGUUUGCCAGAUAUGUGAACUUUGAGAAACUCACUAUCAUAAUUCAAAAAUCCAAUUUAGGGAGUGUCCAUUGUGGCUCAGAAGUGAUGAACCUGACUAGUAUCCAUGAGGAUGUGGGUUUGAUCCCUGGCCCUGCUCAUGUUUACUGUAAAUUAUCAGUCCUUGCCUCCACUUUAUUUCUAAUGUCUUACAUCAUCUUCAGCAUCAUCAGUCUAAAGUCUUUUUCCUGGAGGCUGAUAAUCUCUAGAUUACUCAGCUGUUUUUCUGUUUUUUUUCUUGCUCCCUUAUCUGCAUUAUAGUUCUCUGCCUUUUCAUUUCUAUAGGUUUUUGGUGUGGUGUCCUUUUUGCAGACAAUAGAGUUGUAGCCUCUCUUGCUUCUGGUGUCUGCCCCCCUUGUGGCUGAAGUUGGUACGGGGGCUUGCUGUAGGCUUCCUGAUAGGAGGGACUGGUGUCUGCCCCCUGGUAGGAGGGGCUGAUUCCUAUCCCUCUGGUGGGUGGGGCUUUGUCUCUGGGUGAGAUUAGAGGUGGCUGUGUGUUUGGGGGGUCUUUAGGCAGCCAGUUUACUGAUGGGUGGGGCUGUGAUCCCACCUGGAUUAUUGUUUGGCCUGGGACUUCUCAGGGCUGAUGGGUGGGGCCAGAUUUUCCCUCUAGAGGAACACACACUGAAGAAUAUUUCUGAGAGCUUUGCCUUCAAUGUCCUUCCCUCACAACAAGCCACUGUCACCUCCUGUUUUCCCAGGAGAUCGCCAAGAAUUGCAGUCAAAUCUGACCCAGUUUCCUAUGGAGCCUCUGCUUUGCCCUGGGACCCAGUGCACAUGAAAGCCUGUGUGCAUCUUUCAAAACUGGGGUCUCCAGUCAGUCCCAUGGAGCUCCCACACACAAGCCCCACUGGCCUUCCAUGCCAGAUGCUCUGGGGGCUCUUUCUCCCAUUGCCAGAUCUCCAGCCAUGGGGACCCGAUGCGGGGCUCAGAACUCUCACUCCUGUAAGUGAGUCUCUGUGUGUUACUUUCCAGUCUGUGGGCUUCCCACACAGCAGGUAAGGGGUUACUUAUAUUGGGUAAUCGCCCCUCCUACUCUUGAUGUGGCCUCCUUUUUGUCUUCUGGAAUAGGAUAUCUUUUUGAAAGUUUCCAACCCAAUUGAUUGAAGGUUGUUCCACAUUUGGUUGUAAUUUCAUUGUUUUUAUGAGAGAACAUAAGCUCCAGUCCCUCUAUUUCGCUACCUUAAUCCUGUCUCUCCUACACUGGCAUUUUAAAAACAUGUCAUUUUUUAAGCCAAAUAUAAAUGCUGUAUCAUUAUUAGAAAAGCUGAUUCAGAUUAAAUGUGAUCAUCAGCUAUUAUCAAGUUAGUGACAGAAUUCACAGGCCUGCUUAUAUCUCUUUGGAGUUUGAAAGCGGAACGCCUGAAGUUAGGCUCUUAGGACGCAUAGUUGAAAAGAGAAAUCACGGGCUAUGAAGUCAUCUUGGGAAUCAUUUGUAAGAUAAGGGCUGAUCACUUCAGAAGCCACCCUAAGUAAAGGAAAAUUUUUAUGGAUCAAAUUUUACCCCUAGAUAAACACCUCCUCUGGUGUUCAUUUGAACUUCCAUGAGACUGGGGGAAGGCAAUAUUUUAGGCUAAUAGUGUCAAAGCUAUGGAUUUUGGGCUCAUCUGGGUUUCCACUUUUUUUUUUUUUUUUUUUUUUUUUU
rnacentral:lncRNA from 1 species